rnacentral:rRNA from 1 species
CAGCCGCCGCGGUAAUACGAAGGGUGCAAGCGUUAAUCGGAAUUACUGGGCGUAAAGCGUGCGUAGGCGGUGAGUUAAGUCUGCUGUGAAAUCCCCGGGCUCAACCUGGGAAUGGCAGUGGAUACUGGCUCGCUAGAGUGUGUCAGAGGAUGGUGGAAUUCCCGGUGUAGCGGUGAAAUGCGUAGAGAUCGGGAGGAACAUCAGUGGCGAAGGCGGCCAUCUGGGACAACACUGACGCUGAGGCACGAAAGCGUGGGGAGCAAACAGGAUUAGAUACCCGGGUAGUCCCUGUCUCUUAUCU